rnacentral:snRNA from 1 species
GUAGGAACGCACCAAGGUGCU